rnacentral:rRNA from 1 species
CACUGUCUCCUCCUGAGACUCAGCGAAGUUGAAGUGGUUGUGAAGAUGCAAUCUACCCGCUGCUAGACGGAAAGACCCCGUGAACCUUUACUGUAGCUUUGCAUUGGACUUUGAAGUCACUUGUGUAGGAUAGGUGGGAGGCUUAGAAGCAGAGACGCCAGUCUCUGUGGAGCCGUCCUUGAAAUACCACCCUGGUGUCUUUGAGGUUCUAACCCAGACCCGUCAUCCGGGUCGGGGACCGUGCAUGGUAGGCAGUUUGACUGGGGCGGUCUCCUCCCAAAGCGUAACGGAGGAGUUCGAAGGUUACCUAGGUCCGGUCGGAAAUCGGACUGAUAGUGCAAUGGCAAAAGGUAGCUUAACUGCGAGACCGACAAGUCGAGCAGGUGCGAAAGCAGGACAUAGUGAUCCGGUGGUUCUGUAUGGAAGGGCCAUCGCUCAACGGAUAAAAGGUACUCCGGGGAUAACAGGCUGAUUCCGCCCAAGAGUUCAUAUCGACGGCGGAGUUUGGCACCUCGAUGUCGGCUCAUCACAUCCUGGGGCUGUAGUCGGUCCCAAGGGUAUGGCUGUUCGCCAUUUAAAGUGGUACGUGAGCUGGGUUUAAAACGUCGUGAGACAGUUUGGUCCCUAUCUGCAGUGGGCGUUGGAAGUUUGACGGGGGGCUGCUCCUAGUACGAGAGGACCGGAGUGGACGAACCUCUGGUGUACCGGUUGUAACGCCAGUUGCAUAGCCGGGUAGCUAAGUUCGGAAGAGAUAAGCGCUGAAAGCAUCUAAGCGCGAAACUCGCCUGAAGAUGAGACUUCCCUUGCGGUUUAACCGCACUAAAGAGUCGUUCGAGACCAGGACGUUGAUAGGUGGGGUGUGGAAGCGCGGUAACGCGUGAAGCUAACCCAUACUAAUUGCUCGUGAGGCUUGACUCUAU